AAAGGCUCAGCAGUGAACGCAGCACGUCCAGGAUGCAUAUACAGCAUAUUUGCAGUUAGGAUUUCAGUGUUUACUGCCAACUAUCGCGAUUCCAUAUGUAAUUAAAGGUACUUGAGUAACUCAACACCCCUGGUUGUUUUGGUGAACGUUGUCCACCUGUUUCCAACUAUCUUAAAUCUUAUAUUCCAUGAUUCAGCCACUGUUGGCAUCUCUGAGCUAAACGUGCUGGUCCAGCCGGAGAACGACGAGAAGCUAAGACCUGGGCAAAGCUGAUGCAUCCCAGCUACCGAAACACGAGGAGGUUGUUUCUCAAACUGACGCCACUGCAGGCUAUGGACACGCGGCUACCUUGUAGAAGAGUUGUUGCUUACCUCAGGAGCAAUGGUGUGUACAUUUAACAGCAGUAUGUGAUGGAGACCAUCUUCAAUGAAGUCCUGCUGGACUUAGGUCAUUAUAUGGAGGACCUUGUAAACAUCCCUGUCCCACCGCCCUCUGAGCAGAAUUUGAGCAACCUGACAGUAAGGAGAGUGGUGUCAAGGAAAACUGCUGCAUCCUCCAUCUGCACUGCUUCCGAUGUCUUCCAAAACAUGAAGACAAAAAAGAUCCUCACAUCUCCCCAGCCAACUGUCCAUGACUGUACCUGUUCCACUCCAGAAACUAUGCUUUCAACAUAACUAUGAAUCCUACCCAUUCAUUUUGUGGUCUGCACAUUGAGCUGUGAAGGUAACAUAUCCAGCAUUAUAGUGCUGGUGCACAGUAAAGUUGGCUUUGACUAGUGCUGUUUCACUGAACUAUUUUUUAUGAGGGAAAACAGACAAAUGUUUUAUAAUAUUUUAACUUUUAUUGAGGUAUUGCCAUAAAAAAAAAAAUAAUUAAGGUAAUAAAUUAUAAUUAAUUUAAAUAAUUUAGGUAUUUCACAGGUGGUCUAAGUCCAACAUAGGUGCCUUGUCCCUCAGGAAACACUGUCCUAAUCCAGACCAGGGAAGAUGGGAUGACAACUUGGACUCUUCACGCUAGAAGUCCCCAGCACCAGCUGACAAGACUUCUCUAGACUAGAUACCUGCAACGACUUGAGAUACACACAGACAUAGUACUGUCAAAUUUAUGAAGAAAAAAACAAUAACUAAAUUUCUAUUAGUUAUAUAUUAGCACUUGAUAUACUGUAUCAUACACUUUACUAAAAGCAAUUAAAAUAUAAAAUAUAUUAGGUGAAUAUGUAUUAAGAACCAAAACUAUGUUUGUAAACCAGAAUUCCCAGGUAUGUUAUGAUUAAUCUGUAAAUAGUAAAAUAUUCUAAAAUUGUUUCACUUCUGAGAUACUGAUUGUCUGAUAUACUGUAUAUUAAAUUUGUUCUGUAAUGAAUACACAUUCAA